rnacentral:rRNA from 1 species
UUGAAGCAGAGGACAGUGGCGGACGGGUGAGUAACGCGUGAGGAACCUGCCUUUCAGAGGGGGACAACAGUUGGAAACGACUGCUAAUACCGCAUGACACAUAGGUGUCGCAUGGCACUUAUGUCAAAGAUUUAUCGCUGAAAGAUGGCCUCGCGUCUGAUUAGCUAGUUGGUGAGGUAACGGCCCACCAAGGCGACGAUCAGUAGCCGGACUGAGAGGGUGAUCGGCCACAUUGGAACUGAGAGACGGUCCAGACUCC